AAGUUGAUUUCAGUUGUAUUUUACUAAGAAAAGAAAUGUUAAGUUUUAUAAUAUCAUAAAACAUAUAAUAAUGUUUAUAUCUAGUAAAAUGUUAGGCUCCAGGAAACAUGAAUAUUAAUUACAGGGGAAAGUCACUCUCCAGUAAUAUUAAGAGAAAUCAGAAACAAUUAAUAAUCAUAUAUAUAUAUAUAUGCAACUAAAAUUUUGUCUUAAAAAUAAGUCUUAAAUAAUUGGGCUUAUUUCAUUUAUAUAUCAAAAUAAAAUGUGAAGACACUACAAUGGAUAUUUCCCUGCUUUGUGAUUUUGGCAUAAGCUUUCCUUUAUAAAAUUUUGAUAAAUUUUACAUUCUGGUGAUGUGUUAGCAACAUUUGUCUUUACAGAUUUUUUUUCUCUAUAAACCUUCAAUUCUAUUUAUUUUAUGGUAUUUUAUAUUAAAGAUUAUACAUUUCCAAAUAUAAUACAAUAGCAUAAUAUAUAAUAUUCAAUAAAUAUAACAUACAUACAUUAUUUUAAAUGUUCCUAUAAAUAAAAUAGACUGUUGGAAAAAUAUUCAAGUUAAUCAAAAUUUUGCUUUAUUUAUGCUAUGUUUUUCAAUCACAAUUUUGAAGAAACAUGGACAUAAAACCAUAUGGAAGUACUUUUAAAGUAGUAAAGGAAACAGAAGAUGACAAUUUUGAAAGAUUUAUGCAGUACAGAGAUGUUGAUAUUGAACAAAAGUUUAUGCACAAAUAGUAAAUGAAAAAAAAUUGUUAUGUUUAAGCAGUAUUAAACAAUUAGUAACACAACCAGCUUUAACAAUAUAUAGUUUAAAAGAAUCAGAACUCAUUUCCUGUAUAUCUAGAAAGUGAUUUAUGUAAAUAUUAUGUAUAUAUAUAUAUAUAUAUAUAUAUACAUAUAUAUACACACAUAUAUGUAUAUGUAUUUAUACACACAUAUUUGUGUAUAUGUAUUUAUACACACACACACACACACACACACACACACACACAUAUAUAUGAAUGAUUAUUUUCACUCCCUAAUUGUAAUAUCCAUGCCUGCAUGUCUAGCCCUGAGGUCUGUCUCUAACAACAACCACUGAUAACUUAUAAGGAGCAGCACAUUAGGAAAUGAUACUGUCCCUUUGUAUGAAGGACUGAAAGCUGCAUGAAUUUCAUAAAUUACAAAGAAUCACCAAUUUCAAAGUGUACAUACUCUAGAACACCAGUAAAAUUUGGGACAUAAUCUAGGUUUUUAUAUUCCUAACCUAAAUAUUUUUUAUUUUUUGAAAUUUAUUGUUGAAAAUAUUUGUAUUUAUAAUGUGUGUCUAUGUAUGUAUUUAUGUCUUUGUUCUGUCUCUGUGUGUGACUCUGUUAAUGUGUCUCUGUCAGUGAAUUCCAUGUGUAUGGGAUGUUGUUUGAGACCUGAAUAAGGUGUGAGAUUACCUGAAGCUAGAGUGACAGGUAGUUAAGAGCCGUCCUGUAUGGGUUCCAGGAAUCAAACUCAGGAUGUCUCCAAGAAUAAGAAGCAUUUACCAGAAAAAAGCAAACAACCCAAUUAAAAAAUGGGGUAUAGAACUAAACAAAGAAUUUACAACUGAGGAAUAUUGAAUGGCUGAGAUGCACCCAAAGAAAUGUUCAAAGUCCUUACUGAUCAGAUAAAUGCAAAUUAAAACGACCCUAAGAUUCCACUUCACACCAACCAGAAGGGCUAAGAUCAAAACCUCAGGUGACAACAUAUGUUGCAGAGGAUGUGGAGAAAGCAGAACACUCCUCCGUUUCUGGUGGGAUUGAAAACUGGUAAACCACUAUGGAAAUCCAUCUGGAGGUUCCUCAGAAAAUUGGAAAUUGAUCUACCUGAAGACACAGCUAUACCACUCUUGGGCAUAUACCCAAAAGAUGCCCCACCAUGCUACAGGGUGUUCAUAGCGGCCUUAUUUGUGACAGCCAGAAACUGAAAACAACAUAAGAUGUCCCACAACAGAAGAAUGGAUACAGAAAAUGUGGUUCAUUUACACAGUGGAGUACUACUCAGCAACAUCCUGACUUUUGCAGGCAAAUGGAUGGAAGUAGAUAAUAUCAUCCUAAGUCAUGUAACUCAGACCCAAAGGACAUUCAUUGUAUGUACUCACUAAUAAGUGGAUAUUUGCCACAAAAAGUACAGAAUAGACAAGAUACAGUUCACAGAUUUCAUAAAGAACAGCAAGCUGAAGUACCCAAGUGAGGAUUCUUCAGUCCCACUUGGGAGAGAGAAGAAAAGAAUCACAAGUGUGGAGGGAAGUCUUUUUCUUGCUUGCUUUUCUCCCUUCAUCUCCAUCACCCCCACUUUGCCCCCACGCU
rnacentral:lncRNA from 1 species